UACGUAGGUGGCAAGCGUUACUCGGAAUCACUAGGCGUAAAGCGCAGGUAGGCGGUUCGGUAAGUCUCUUGUGAAAGCUCCCGGCUCAACUGGGAGAGGUCAAGGGAAACUACCGGGCUAGAGUGUGGCAGAGGAAGCUGGAAUUCCCGGUGUAGCGGUGAAAUGCGUAGAGAUCGGGAGGAAUACCUAUGGCGAAAGCAGGCUUCUGGGCCGUCACUGACGCUGAGCUGCGAAAGCUAGGGGAGCAAACGGG
rnacentral:rRNA from 1 species